GAUGAACGCUGGCGGCGUGCCUAACACAUGCAAGUCGAGCGAACGGACGAGAAGCUUGCUCGUCUGAUGUUAGCGGCGGACGGGUGAGUAACACGUGGAUAACCUAACUAUAAGACUGGGAUAACUUCGGGAAACCGGAGCUAAUACCGGAUAAUAUUUUGAACAGCAUGGUUCAAAAGUGAAAGACGGUCUUGCUGUCACUUAUAGAUGGAUCCGCGCUGCAUUAGAUAGUUGGUAAGGUAACGGCUUACCAAGGCAACGAUGCAUAGCCGACCUGAAAGCGAGAUUGCACACACUGGCACUGAGACUCGGUCGAGACUCCUGCAGGGGGACGCAGUCGGGAAUCUUCCGCAAUGGACGAAAGCCUGACGGAGCAACACCGCGUGAGUGCUGAAGGACUUAUGCUCGUAAAACUCUGUUAUUAAGAAGGAACAAAUGUGUAAGUAACUGUGCAAAUCUUGACGGUACCGGAUCAGAAAGCAACGGCUAACUACGUG
rnacentral:rRNA from 1 species